UGGGGAAUAUUGCACAAUGGGCGAAAGCCUGAUGCAGCGACGCCGCGUGAGGGAUGACUGCCUUCGGGUUGUAAACCUCUUUCAGCAGGGACGAAGCGAAAGUGACGGUACCUGCAGAAGAAGCACCGGCCAACUACGUGCCAGCAGCCGCGGUAAUACGUAGGGUGCAAGCGUUGUCCGGAAUUAUUGGGCGUAAAGAGCUCGUAGGCGGCUCGUCGCGUCGGCUGUGAAAACCUGGGGCUCAACCCCGGCCUGCAGCCGAUACGGGCG
rnacentral:rRNA from 1 species